CUGACGGAGGCGGUGGCGCAGGGGGAAGAGGGUCUCCUCGGGAGUCCGAGUUUCCACCUGGACGGCACGAGUGGACGGAAAGUCUCAGAUGAAACCAUCGGCCGAGAGACUCUUAUCUUCAGAUCUGGAAGGCUCUCCCCAUUGCGACGAACCCUACAAGUUGAGAGUUAUGAUCAGCGGUGUCUCAUAAAUGUUGAAUAAAUGCCUCUCUGGGAGAAAACCACCCUGGUUUGCAGCAUUGGCCAAUCUCUGUGGUGCAAAUACUCCCACCAUGGUCAAUUUCAAGCUACCAAUAUGACAUCACUGAAUACGGAGUUGAGAUGAGAUGCACAGAAGUGGCUUUUGGGAGGUGCUGGGAGCUGGCUCCAGCAUAACACUGGACUACGAUCACAAUAUAACAAAGAAACAAAGGCUUCUGGAGUUUAGGAUACUUGCCUGUGGAUGGUUAGCUGAGAGAAAGAAAGGGAGAGAGAAAAAGGUUGAGUGGGUGAUGAAUUGUGCAGAUGGGACAGGAAGCUGGGGGUGGGGAGAGAGGCUUGUGAGUCUUACCUCCCUCUCUGAUGACUCCUCGCCUUGGAGUGCGGGGGAUGGGGAGUCAGGUUCAGUGUUGGGGGGUGGCUUUUGUGGGCCCCCCAGACCUGCCAGCGUGUCUUCCACCAUCCAUAGCUGCUGCUGAGCAGAUGCUCUGUCCUGGGAGGAGGAAAGAAAUCUGUUAUUCAAAGGUGGGAAAAUGCCAGGAGGGUUAAAGUUGGGUCUGAAAUCAGUGAGCCUAUAUUUAUGGAGUCCUAAAUGGAUUAUGUACGCAUGGGGAGGUUAUACUUGUGGAUAUCCAUUUCCAUAUGGAUAUCCCAUUGACCCACCACCAUUUACCACAAACAUGGUCUUUUCUAAUCUGCUCUAAAGUGUGACCUGUUAUACAUAGGUGAGCAUAUAAAUAUGUGAAUCUGUUUCUGAAUACCCUAUUCUAUUUCUUUGGUCCAUUUGUCUAAACUACACUGUCUUAUUAACUGUAGCUUUACAGUCAGACUUGACAUUUAUUUGCCUUAGUCCUCCAGCUUUGCUCUUGGAGGUUGCCUUGGCUACUCUUAGUCUUUUGCACUUCCAGACACAAUUUAGAGUCAGCCCGUCAAUCUCUACAUAGAAACCUCCCAGAUUUGUAUUGGGAUUCUAAAUCAAUUUGGGGAGACUACAUCUUUACUUUAUGUAUCUUUUCUAUCCACGAACAUGGUAUAUCUCUCCAUUUAUUUAGGUCUUCUUUAAGUUCUCUCAAUGAUGUUUUGUGGCUUUCAGAAUAGAUGUCUUGUAUAUAUUUCAUUAGAUUUCUUCUUGGAUAUUUAAUUUGUUUAUGUCAAUUACAAACACUAUUGCUUACAAAUAUUUAUUCUCUAUUCAUUUGGUACUAACAUACAAGAAGAUAAUUGAUUUUUGCAUAUUAUCCUUGCAUUCAGUGACCUUGAUGAAUUUGUUUAUUCUAAUAGCUUAUCUGGAGAUUAUUUUGAAUUUUCUACAUUUAUACAAUCAUGUGUCAUCUGUAAAUAAAAAACAGAUUUACUUCUCUGGUCCUUACACCUUUAUUUCCUAGACUUGUACUGUCUAGGACCCCUGGUACAAUGUUAACUAGAACUGGUAAUAGCAGACACUCUCAUCUUAUUCCAGCUAUCAGGCAGAAAAUUCUCAAUAUUUCACUGCCAAUUAUGUUUGCUGUAGGUUUGUUAUAGAUGUGUUAUCAGAUUAAGGAAGUUCCCUUCUAUUCCUAUUUUGCUGGGAGCCUUUAUCAUUAAUGGAUAUUAAAUUUAGUCAAAUGUUUUUCCGGCAUUUAUUGAGAUGAUCAUGUGCCUUUUCUCCUUUUUAAAAAAAU